CCAGAGUGGAUCCUGAGUACGGCGGAACACGUGAAAUUCCGUCGGAAUCCGGGAGGACCAUCUCCCAAGGCUAAAUACUCCCUAGUGACCGAUAGUGAACCAGUACCGUGAGGGAAAGGUGAAAAGCACCCCGGAAGGGGAGUGAAACAGUUCCUGAAACCGUGUGCCUACAAGUAGUUAGAGCCCGUUAAUGGGUGAUAGCGUGCCUUUUGUAGAAUGAACCGGCGAGUUACGAUUUGUUGCAAGGUUAAGCGGAAAAAGCGGAGCCGUAGCGAAAGCGAGUCUGAAUAGGGCGCAUAAGUAACAGGUCGUAGACCCGAAACCAGGUGAUCUACCCAUGUCCAGGAUGAAGGUAAGGUAAUACUUACUGGAGGUCCGAACCCACGCACGUUGAAAAGUGCGGGGAUGAGGUGUGGGUAGCGGAGAAAUUCCAAUCGAACUUGGAGAUAGCUGGUUCUCUCCGAAAUAGCUUUAGGGCUAGCCUCGAGGUAAAGAGUCAUGGAGGUAGAGCACUGUUUGGACUAGGGGCCCUUCUCGGGUUACCGAAUUCAGAUAAACUCCGAAUGCCAUGUACUUAUACUCGGGAGUCAGACUGCGAGUGAUAAGAUCCGUAGUCGAAAGGGAAACAGCCCAGACCACCAGUUAAGGUCCCCAAAUAUAUGUUAAGUGGAAAAGGAUGUGGGGUUGCUUAGACAACCAGGAUGUUGGCUUAGAAGCAGCCACCAUUGAAAGAGUGCGUAAUAGCUCACUGGUCGAGUGACCCCGCGCCGAAAAUGUACCGGGGCUAAACAUAUUACCGAAACUGUGGAUGAACCUCUUUAGAGGUUCGUGGUAGGAGAGCGUUCUAAGGGCGGUGAAGUCAGACCGGAAGGACUGGUGGAGCGCUUAGAAGUGAGAAUGCCGGUAUGAGUAGCGAAAGAAGGGUGAGAAUCCCUUCCACCGAAUAUCUAAGGUUUCCUGAGGAAGGCUCGUCCGCUCAGGGUUAGUCGGGACCUAAGCCGAGGCCGAUAGGCGUAGGCGAUGGACAACAGGUAGAGAUUCCUGUACCAGUGCUAAUUGUUUAACCGAUGGGGUGACACAGAAGGAUAGGGAAUCGCACGAAUGGAAAUGUGCGUCCAAGCAGUGAGUGUGAGAAGUAGGCAAAUCCGCUUCUCGCGAAGCAUGAGCUGUGAUGGGGAAGGAAAUUAAGUACGGAAGUUCCUGAUUUCACGCUGUCAAGAAAAGCCUCUAGGAAGAGUAGUACUGCCCGUACCGCAAACCGACACAGGUAGAUGAGGAGAGAAUCCUAAGGUGAGCGAGAGAACUCUCGUUAAGGAACUCGGCAAAAUGACCCCGUAACUUCGGGAGAAGGGGUGCUCUAUUAGGGUGCAAGCCCGAGAGAGCCGCAGUGAAUAGGCCCAGGCGACUGUUUAGCAAAAACACAGGUCUCUGCAAAACCGUAAGGUGACGUAUAGGGGCUGACGCCUGCCCGGUGCUGGAAGGUUAAGAGGAGUGCUUAGCUUCGGCGAAGGUACGAAUUGAAGCCCCAGUAAACGGCGGCCGUAACUAUAACGGUCCUAAGGUAGCGAAAUUCCUUGUCGGGUAAGUUCCGACCCGCACGAAAGGCGCAACGAUCUGGGCACUGUCUCAACGAGAGACUCGGUGAAAUUAUAGUACCUGUGAAGAUGCAGGUUACCCGCGACAGGACGGAAAGACCCCGUGGAGCUUUACUGCAACCUGAUAUGGAAUGUUUGUACCGCUUGUACAGGAUAGGUAGGAGCCGAAGAGACGUGUGCGCUAGCAUACGAGGAGGCAAUGGUGGGAUACUACCCUGGCUGUAUGACCAUUCUAACCCGCCACGCUUAGCGCGUGGGGAGACAGUGUCAGGUGGGCAGUUUGACUGGGGC
rnacentral:rRNA from 1 species